GACGAACGCUGGCGGCGUGCUUAACACAUGCAAGUCGAACGGAAAGGCCCUGCUUUUGUGGGUUGCUCGAGUGGCGAACGGGUGAGUAACACGUGAGUAACCUGCCCUUGACUUUGGGAUAACUUCAGGAAACUGGGGCUAAUACCGGAUAGGAGCUCCUGCUGCAUGGUGGGGGUUGGAAAGUUUCGGCGGUUGGGGAUGGACUCGCGGCUUAUCAGCUUGUUGGUGGGGUAGUGGCUUACCAAGGCUUUGACGGGUAGCCGGCCUGAGAGGGUGACCGGCCACAUUGGGACUGAGAUACGGACCAGACGCCUACGGGAGGCAGCAGUGGGGAAUAUUGCACAAUGGGCGGAAGCCUGAUGCAGCAACGCCGCGUGCGGGAUGACGGCCUUCGGGUUGUAAACCGCUUUCGCCUGUGACGAAGCGUGAGUGACGGUAAUGGGUAAAGAAGCACCGGCUAACUACGUG
rnacentral:rRNA from 1 species